ensembl:lncRNA
AGGGCAGAUGGUGAGGAUUUGGGGGGAAAGCUGAGGUAACUUGGAAAGGAGAGGAGGCGCAUAUUUGAGGGAAAAGCUGAGGUAAAAUCAAGGCAACAUGGCAAGAAUUCUGCAGGGGGGACAGGAUGAUCUUCUUGGAGGGAAAGCUGAGGUAACAUUGAGACAGGCAAGGAUUUUGUCGGGAAAAGAUGGGGUAGCUCAGAGGGGAGAGGGUAGGUGCUUUGGGGGGAAAAUCUGAGGUAACUUGGAGGGGAGAGGAGGAGCCUUUUGGGGGGAAAAUCUGAGGUGACUUGGAGGGCAGAUGGCGAGGAUUUGGGCAGGAAAAUCUGAGGUAACUUGGAGGGGAGAGGGUAGAAAGAGAAGAGAAGAAACAUGGUAUCCCAUGAGGGACAAAAUGAUGUUUCAAGAUAUUGAAAGUAGCAGAAAAGAUGCAACUUUUAUCAGGACAGGUUGAGUGAGCACUGUUGGUUUCUGUGGUGCUUUUUUGCUCCUGGUACUAAGAUGCAAUAGGGAUGAAGGGAGGGUCGUGGAGCAGGAUUUCCAAGUGAUCACACGCACAAAAAAGGCAUCCUCAUCCUCAUAGGGAUGGAUAUAUUAUAAAAGCUGAGUCAUGGUGUUUUCCUUUCUUUAGAGCUUGGCAGCCGAAGCUUGAAACCAAAAUUCCUGGACACCAUCUCUCCUGGAGGAAGGCAGAUGAGAAGCAGUUGCUGCUGGUGAGUUAAGCAAGGUUUUUUUCUGCUGUGAAGGGGAUGGGAUGGGGGAGGGAGGCCAGAGAAGAAGGAAGAGGAGGCAGUGGCCAGCAGCACAUUUGUCCCUGUUGUGAGCUGCAGGAGUGGUGCUUGAAGAGUCAGUGCUUGCCUGGGUGUAGGAGUUUGGAGCUGACCCCUCUUGGUCCUAAGCAUGUCUGGUUUGCUUUCCACCAGCUCCCGGAGAGGAAAGACUUCUUGAAGAACUUCAUGAAGAACUGCGAGUCAAGAGUGAGCACGAAGAGAAGAGGAGGAAGACGGAAGAGGAGGGAGGAGAAAGGCACUCUGGGCAAAGGGACCACCCUGGAAGCAGGGCAGCGGUCACCGUGUGCACGGAGGAGGCAGCAGGAGGACCUGAGCCUGGGGCGUCGCAGUCUCCUCUUGUCCUGGAGCAGCUUCUGGAUCUCCCUUUUCCCCAGUUACUGAAUAAAAUGCUUUGUCAAACUGUAGGUUACCCCCGGGGCCCCUGUCACCCCCAACUCUGCUUUAACUCGUGCCAGGAAAAUUGCACUGCACAGGCGGUCUUCACUUUGCCCCGGCUGUUGGAGGUUUUGCUGUUGUGAGGCUAGUGUGUGCUUGUCCUCGGUGGUUGCAAGGGGCAGACCUCAGUGACUGUUGCCGCUUCCAGGUAGGAGUGUGGUGAUAGUGCAGGGUUGUUGUGGAGGUGUUGUGGUAGGAGUGCGGUGGCACUGCAGGGGUGUUGUGGUAGGAGUGUGGUGGUAGUGCAGGGGUGUUGUGGAGGUGUUGUAGGAGUGCGGUGGCACUGCAGGGGUGUUGUGGAGCUGUUGUGGUAGGAGUGCGGUGGUACUGCAGUGCUGUAGGAGGAUUUAUUUUGGCUUGUCGAUGGCCUGUAGCACCUGCCGCAGGACGCGGUGUUUGGUGUGAGGGGAUGAAAAGGCRAGAGCUGUAGCCGCCUGUUGGGUGUAGAGUUGGGGCCAGAGGSGAGGUCGCCUGUGCGGUGCAAUUGGACAGGGGUGCGGAGUUGGUCUGAGUUGGGUUUUGAAAGGGGCCCGGCMCCAAGCCCCCUCCCUGGCUCCUUCUGCCCUGCCCCUGGGCCCCUUUUACCCCAGUUGUGUUGUUUCUGUUGUCUGUGACUGAACAAAAAACCUGUGUGUUCACUCUGCUUCAUAAGCGGCAGUUUCUUUGAGGGCAAUUGACUGGGGCGGGGGGUGGCUCUGGGGACGUGGCUCUUGGUGUGGGGUGGGAUGAU